UCCAGGACCCUCUCCGUCCCUUCCACCAAAUAGUUUCCUCCUGGUCCUGCCACAGCAUCCCACACUCCCAGAGACACGAUCUUCGUAGUCCUUCCAGAGGCUGCCCCUUGGGAACACACAAAAGCCUGUGCCCUCUGGUUUUUCACAGGUGUCAUAUCCACAAGGGGGCCCUCCUCCAUCCUCGACACAAUGAUUCCCCUCAGCCUCCACUCAAGAACGACUCAGAGAAACCACAAGAAACAAAACCCCAGGCCCCUCUACCUCAUUUCUUUUUUCUUUUUUUCAUAGUGGGGAUUGAACCCAGGGCACUUUAUCACUAAGCUACAUUCCUGGUCCUUUUAUUUUGUAUUUUGAGACAGGGUCUUGAUAAGUUGCUGAGUAUCUUGCCAAGCUGCUAAAGCUGGCCUCCAACAUGCAUUCUUCCUGCCUCAGCUCACAAGUCCCUGGGACACUGCCAGCUGCCCACCAACUUCUUGGCCUUAUUUUAUUGCAGCUCCUAAAGAUGCUGUCUCCUCUGACUACAGCCUCACCCCCACCUAGGCCAGCCAACUUUUCCUGUCAUUGCCUGAGACCUCUACCCUCUCAAAUCCAUGUUCAAUCCUAAAGGCUAGUUUGCCCCAUCUGUCAGCAGCUUUGACAUGGUGGGCCACUGUUAGUUUAAUUGUCCAUUUCUGCCCCCCCCAAGAUUAUCAAAUUGUUUAAACAAAGAAAAGUUAUAACUUUAUAGUGAAUACCUCAUACCCACCACCUAGAUUCUACCAGGACCAUUUUCCUACUCUCUAUCUGUAGGUUGCACUUACCACAGAUCAAAAAAAAAUCAGAAAAACAAAUCAUGUCUGUCCUGAACAGAUAGACUUUUUUCUUUCAUCAUUUCCUAAAUAAUACAGUAUAACAACUAUUUUUAAAAUAUUUUUUAGUUGUAAAUGAACACAAUACCUUUAUUUAUUUACUUUCUAUGUGAUGCUGAGGAUCGAACCCAGUGCCUCACACAUGCAAGGUAAGCACUCUAUCAUUGAGCCACAACCCCAGCCCCAUAACAACUAUUUGUACAUCAUCUACAUAUAUAAUAAAUAAUCUAGACAUGAUUUAAAGAAUAUGGGAUAAUGUGCGAUUACUAAACCACUUAUGUAAGAGUAUUUGUGGGUUAGGGAGUGGCUGGAACACAUCCUCCACGGAUACUGAGGGGCAAUGACUAUACUUGAAUUUUCUUAUCUGUCCAACUGUUCGUCUUCAGUCCAUCUUGGUUUUAGUGUACUUCAAAAUAAACUGCAGACUUCAG
rnacentral:lncRNA from 1 species